CCCUGAUAGUCCUUUGCACAGUGAUCUUCAGAUCUUAAAAGAAAAAGAAGACAUGGAGAUAUUUUGCUUCACUUAUCUUUUAAGAAACUGUUGUGGUUGUCAACUGGGUUGUCUUCCUGAAGUAUGAAUCUGGUAUGUAUUGGGUGGAGGAGCAUUAUGUAUUGAACUUCUGAUGAAACAGGGCUGAAGCAGUGCCUACUCGACAGAACCAGUCAUCGUACAAAGAAAUGCCACCUGACUCAAAGGCAAAGCCAGAGUGCAGCUUGGAGCAAAGAAGGUA